CAACAAGGCUCCCUGGCCCUCGAAGCUCCGGCGGAGGGGUGCCACAGCCUGACUUUAUACCCACCCUUUGCCUAUGUGUACCCCUAUUGCUUCCCUCGGCGGGCUCGCCCGCCGACAGGAACCAACUAAACCCUUUGCAUUAUACAUUUAACACUUCCGAUACAAAACUAAAUUAUUA
rnacentral:misc_RNA from 1 species